rnacentral:lncRNA from 1 species
GCCUGACGAAGUCUCAAUUUUCGAACAAAUUGUAAUAUAUUCUCCAUGGGAAAAGGCUACAAACCCUGCAGAUGGCUCCAACAUAGAUCCCUACACAGCCAGUAAGAAAAAGGGGGUCAUAAGGAAUAGUGCUUAAGACGAGAGUUCUCAUUUCAAAUCCUCUUAAGCACUGAAACCUCAGCUCGUUUCACCAGCCACUGGGGAAGAAAGUGAAAAGACAAGAGUUGCUAAGGACAACAUCCCACUGAAGUGAAGGCCAGUUCAGACAUGGCCCAACUCAUGAACUCAAAUCAGCAUAGUUGAACUGACUAGGUGAUAAGAAGCUAUCAACACAUGCUGUUCUAUAGGAAAAGCAACCAGCUGGGUAUCCAAGAUGUUAAGAUCCAAUGGGACCUAGUGCUGAGUAGCCGUGCAGGAGCUUUAAAGCCUUACUUCACAUCCUUGA